rnacentral:rRNA from 1 species
GAUGAACGCUAGCGGCAGGCCUAACACAUGCAAGUCGAGGGGUAUAGGGAGCUUGCUUCCUAGAGACCGGCGCACGGGUGCGUAACGCGUAUGCAAUCUACCUUGUACAGGGGAAUAGCCCAGAGAAAUUUGGAUUAAUGCCCCAUAGUAUUAUUAAAUGGCAUCCUUUAAUAAUUAAAGUUCCAACGGUACAAGAUGAGCAUACGUCCUAUUAGUUAGUUGGUGUGGUAACGGCAUACCAAGACGAUGAUAGGGUAGGGGUCCUGAGAGGGAGAUCCCCCACACUGGUACUGAGACACGGACCAGACUCCUACGGGAGGCAGCAGUGAGGAAUAUUGGACAAUGGGCGCAAGCCUGAUCCAGCCAUGCCGCGUGCAGGAAGACGGUCCUAUGGAUUGUAAACUGCUUUUUAACAGGAAGAAACACUGGUUCGUGAACCAGCUUGACGGUACUGUAAGAAUAAGGAUCGGCUAACUCCGUGCCAGCAGCCGGGUAAA